CCUACGGGCGGCAGCAGUGAGGAAUAUUGGUCAAUGGGCUUACGCCUGAACCAGCCAAGUCGCGUGAGGGAAGACUGCCCUAUGGGUUGUAAACCUCUUUUGUCAGGGAGCAACGCCGGCUACGUGUAGCCGGACUGAGAGUACCUGAAGAAAAAGCAUCGGCUAACUCCGUGCCAGCAGCCGCGGUAAUAAGGAGGAUGCGAGCGUUAUCCGGAUUUUUUGGGUUUAAAGGGUGCGUAGGCGGAAUGCCAAGUCAGCGGUAAAAUCGCGGGGCUCAACCUCGCUCCGCCGUUGAAACUGGCGUUCUUGAGUGGGCGAGAAGUAUGCGGAAGGCGUGGUGUAGCGGUGAAAUGCAUAGAUAUCACGCAGAACUCCGAUUGCGAAGGCAGCAUACCGGCGCCCAACUGACGCUGAAGCACGAAAGCGUGGGUAUCGAACAGGAUUAGAUACCCCAGUAGUC
rnacentral:rRNA from 1 species